rnacentral:rRNA from 1 species
CCUACGGGAGGCAGCAGUGAGGAAUCUUGCACAAUGGGCGAAAGCUUGAUGCAGCAACGCCGCGUGGGCGAUGAAGGCCUUCGGGUUGUAAAGCCCUUUUCUGGGGGACGAGGAAGGACGGUACCCCAGGAAUAAGUCACGGCUAACUACGUGCCAGCAGCCGCGGUAAUACGUAGGUGGCGAGCGUUAUCCGGAUUCACUGGGCGUAAAGCGCGUGCAGGCGGUUCUGUAAGUCGGACGUGAAAGCUCCUGGCUUAACUGGGAGAGGCCGUUCGAUACUGCGGGACUUGAGGUCGGGAGAGGGACGUGGAAUUCCCGGUGUAGUGGUGGAAUGCGUAGAUAUCGGGAGGAACACCAGUGGCGAAGGCGGCGUCCUGGCCCGUACCUGACGCUAAGACGCGAAAGCGUGGGUAGCGAACGGGAUUAGAUACCCCGGUAGUCCACGCCGUAAACGGUGGAUACUAGGUGUUGGUGACUAUCGUCAUCAGUGCCGUAGCUAACGCGUUAAGUAUCCCGCCUGGGGACUACGGCCGCAAGGCUAAAACUCAAAGGAAUUGACGG